rnacentral:rRNA from 1 species
AACGAACGCUGGCGGCAUGCCUAACACAUGCAAGUCGAACGAGACCUUCGGGUCUAGUGGCGCACGGGUGCGUAAAGCGUGGGAACCUGCCCUUAGGUUCGGAAUAACUCCCCGAAAGGGGUGCUAAUACCGGAUAAUGUCUUCGGACCAAAGAUUUAUCGCCUUUGGAUGGGCCGGCGUUGGAUUAGCUAGUUGGUAGGGUAAAAGCCUACCAAGGCGACGAUCCAUAGCUGGUCUGAGAGGAUGAUCAGCCACACUGGGACUGAGACACGGCCCAGACUCCUACGGGAGGCAGCAGUGGGUAAUAUUGGACAAUGGGCGAAAGCCAGAUCCAGCAAUGCCGCGUGAGUGAUGAAGGCCUUAGGGUUGUAAAGCUCUUUUACCCGGGAUGAUAAUGACAGUACCGGGAGAAUAAGCUCCGGCUAACUCCGUG